rnacentral:lncRNA from 1 species
GCAAUGCGCACGCGCAGUGGCUUUGAAGGCGGGGCAACAAAGCCUAUGGCUGAUAUGGCGCUCCUCGGCCCGCGCUUCAAAGGUUAUGACACUGUUAGCUCUAAGGGGAGAAGGAAUGUGUGACCAUUUCCAACGGUUAACUUGCAUUCCCCAGGUAGUUUGGAUGAGUUACAACCCAAAUCUGCAAACUCAAUACAGCCAGACCCUGGGAAGUGACCCUCUCCAAGCCUCCUGUACAAGUCCCAGGAAAAGAGCUUGUUUUCCCUUGGACAUGUGAGCAGUGAAUUACUGCUCAUUCAGAAUUUCAUGUGUAUGUGUUACUGAUGGCCAGGUUUAGAGAUACCAACCUAUUUAUUUCUAGAGGAGAGGUGAUUUGAUAACCUUUUCAGAUAUCACUAUCAGUAGACAGAAAAGAGUUAAUAGAAUGAUAGGGUUAAUAUGUCCUGAGGACAGUAGAGAAACUGCAAACUGCAGAAGCACCUGAUCUGUGGCCCUGGCCAGCAUCUCUCCAUAUCCUGAUUCUGUAAGAUCAAGUGUUUAUGCAGAAAGAGAAGGGACUGAUGAUUUGAAUGUGACCAGAUGCAGGGCAUGCCCUUAUUGCCAUGCCAGCAUUUGCUAUUCAUGAUGUUAGUAUUCAAAAAUCAAGAAACACUCUGCCUGGGCCAUUGGUGUCUACUAAUCCAUUGGAAGAAAAGACUGGAAUCCACCACUUACUAGCUUCUUGGGCCUCAGUCCCCUUUUUUCUACCAUAGCUAAGGACCACCUAACCUAGAUGGCUGUUGUUACUGUUCAAAGGAACAUCUUUAGAGCCUCAAGCCCAGGAGUAGCCCAUGGCAGGCACCUGAUAAAUGUUAGUUUUCAUUGUCCUAUCCCAACACUAUGAAACAUGCAGCACUCUCUGCAGCUGCCCCUGUGGAUUUCCAUAGGCAGGAGAGUAUCCAGUGUUGAGUGGAGCUGGUAUUCUCAAAAACGAAGCCCCUUUCCCCAUUUUGCACCAAUCUCUUCAGUCAUUUUUACCCUAGUAGUAUAAUGCUUUGUCAAAGUCACUGUCAUCUGAUGUUAACAGUUGUUUUUGCCAGAUGACUUUUCAAAAGGUAACUUCACCAUAAUACUGGUUAAUGUGACAAAAACACUGCAUGUAGCCAAUUUUUUUUUUUUUUGAGAUGGAGUUAUUGGCUCUUGUUGCCCAGGCUAGAGUGCAGUGGCGCGAUCUUGGCUCACUGCAACCUCCACCUCGUGGGUUCAAGUAAUUCUCCUGCCUCAGCCUCCCAAGUGGCUGGGAUUACAGGCACACGCCACCAUGCCCAGCUAAUUUUUUUGUAUUUUUAGUAGAGAUGGGGUUUCACUAUAUGUUGGCCAGGCUGGUCUCAAACUCCUGACCUCAGGUGAUCCGCCUGCCUCAGCCUUCCAAAGUGCUGGGGUUACAGGUGUGAGCCACUGCGCCCAGGCAAUUAUUUUCUUAUUUAUUUAUUUAUUUUAGAGACAGGAUGCCAUUAUGUUGCCUAGUUUGGAAUGCAGUGUCUAUUUAGAGGCGUGAUCAUGGCAUACUAUAGCCUCGGCUCAAAGGACCCUGGUCUCAAAGGACCCUGCCACCUUAGCCUCCUGAGUAGCUGGGACAAGUGUGCGCCACCACACCUGGCUAAUUUUUUAAAUUUUUUGUAGAGAUAGGGUCUCACUGUUGCCCACGCUGGUCUGGAAUUCCUGGACUCAAGGCCUCUUCCUGCCCUCAGCCUUCCAAAGUGUUAGGAUUACAGGGUGAGUCACCAUGCCCAGCCAGUGUGAAUUUUCUAAUGCUGAGUAAGUUGUGAUCCAGAAGUAAAUGUAUCUGCAAGCUGAUUUAAAUUGUAGAUUUUCUCUUCAUUGUGUAUUUUCUGAUGUUGAAUAAAGUCUGAGUAUUAACUAAAGUUUUUCUUCUUAAAUAUGUAAGAAUUGUCCUCAAAAUCUCUAUUCUUGAGCACAGUAGUAAAAAUAUUUUUACAUACAUUGUAUUUCAAGGGUUCUGCAUAAGCAACCUUGUUUUAUUGUGACUAAAUUUAUUUGGGAAUUGUAUCAAAUAUAUAAUACUGAGAUGUUCUCA